ensembl:lncRNA
AGAGAGAGAUGAGCCAGAGAGAGAGAGAGGAGACAGAGAGAGAGGCAGAGAGAGAGAGGCACCAGAGAGAGAGGGGCCAGAGAGAGAGAGAGAGAGAGAGAGAGAGGAGCCAGAGAGAGAGAGAGAGACAGGGAGAGAGAGACAAGGAGAGAGAGAGAGAGACAGAGAAAGUCACAAUCAGAUGAGCUCCUGCAUUUUUCAGCAUUUUCUUUAAAAAAGAUAGAUGAGGAGUUAGAUAAACUUAGAUUUUUUGUCAGGAACACAUACUGGAUUCUACCCUCUACAACAUAACCCCUACUUCAAAUCAAAACUUAAAACCUACAACCUGAUUUUGGACGGAAUUACGGAAUCACCUGGAAGGUUC